CCUACGGGAGGCAGCAGUGAGGAAUAUUGGUCAAUGGGCGCGAGCCUGAACCAGCCAAGUAGCGUGAAGGAUGACUGCCCUACGGGUUGUAAACUUCUUUUAUAAAGGAAUAAAGUGAGGCACGUGUGCCUUUUUGUAUGUACUUUAUGAAUAAGGAUCGGCUAACUCCGUGCCAGCAGCCGCGGUAAUACGGAGGAUCCGAGCGUUAUCCGGAUUUAUUGGGUUUAAAGGGAGCGUAGAUGGGUUGUUAAGUCAGUUGUGAAAGUUUGCGGCUCAACCGUAAAAUUGCAGUUGAAACUGGAGGCCUGGAGUGCACACAGGGAUGCCGGAAUUCAUGGUGUAGCGGUGAAAUGCUUAGAUAUCAUGAAGAACUCCGAUCGCGAAGGCAAGUGGCCGGGGUGCAACUGACGCUGAGGCUCGAAAGUGCGGGUAUCAAACAGGAUUAGAUACCCGGGUAGUC
rnacentral:rRNA from 1 species